CCUACGGGUGGCUGCAGUGAGGAAUAUUUGUCAAUGGGCGCGAGCCUGAACCAGCCACGUAGCGUGAAGGAUGACUGCCCUACGGGUUGUAAACUUCUUUUAUAAAGGAAUAAAGUGAGGCACGUGUGCCUUUUUGUAUGUACUUUAUGAAUAAGGAUCGGAUAACUCCGUGCCAGCAGCCGCGGUAAUACGGAGGAUCCGAGCGUUAUCCGGAUUUAUUGGGUUAAAAGGAAGCGUAGAUGGGUUGUUAAGUCAGUUGUGAAAGUUUGCGUCUCAACCGUAAAAUUGCAAUUGAUACUGGCAGCCUUGAGUACAGUGGAGGUAGGCGGAAUUUGUGGUGUAGCGGUGAAAUGCGUAGAUAUCACGAAGAACUCCGAUUGCGAAGGCAGCCUACUAAACUGCCACUGACAUUGAUGCUCGAAAGUGUGGGUAUCAAACAGGAUUAGAUACCCCUGUAGUC
rnacentral:rRNA from 1 species